GACGAACGCUGGCGGCGUGCUUAACACAUGCAAGUCGAACGGAAAGGCACUGCUUUUGUGGGGUGCUCGAGUGGCGAACGGGUGAGUAACACGUGAGUAACCUGCCCUUGACUUUGGGAUAACUUCAGGAAACUGGGGCUAAUACCGGAUAGGAGCUCCUGCUGCAUGGUGGGGGUUGGAAAGUUUCGGCGGUUGGGGAUGGACUCGCGGCUUAUCAGCUUGUUGGUGGGGUAGUGGCUUACCAAGGCUUUGACGGGUAGCCGGCCUGAGAGGGUGACCGGCGACAUUGGGACUGAGAGACGGCCCAGACUCCUACGGGAGGCAGCAGUGGGGAAUAUUGCACAAUGGGCGGAAGCCUGAUGCAGCAACGCCGCGUGCGGGAUGACGGCCUUCGGGUUGUAAACCGCUUUCGCCUGUGACGAAGCGUGAGUGACGGUAAUGGGUAAAGAAGCACCGGCUAACUACGUG
rnacentral:rRNA from 1 species